rnacentral:sRNA from 1 species
AACGGAAAUAUGUUUUCCGUUUUAAGAUGUGAAAUGUUGCUUCGCAACGUGAAAUAUGUCCCGCGGGAAACCGCGGGACAUAUGAAAUAUUCG